CUUCCGUAGGUGAACCUGCGGAAGGAUCAUUACUGUGAUUUAACCAUUCUACACGUGCGUGAGCGCAACUACAACACGAAAACGUAUGUACUAUUGUCAAGAAACUACAAAACAAACAAAACUUUCAACAACGGAUCUCUUGGUUCUCGCAUCGAUGAAGAGCGCAGCGAAAUGCGAUACCUAGUGUGAAUUGCAGCCAUCGUGAAUCAUCGAGUUCUUGAACGCACAUUGCGCCCUUCGGUAUUCCGGAGGGCAUGCCUGUUUGAGCGUCGUUUCCUUCUUGCGCUAGCGCAGAGUUGGAGGGGUGUAGUGCCCUUCUGAAAAGAAACGUGCGGGCGAAGCGAACUAUAUUGGGACGCUUGGCCGCCGAACUUUUAAUAAGCUCGACCUCAAAUCAGGUAGGAAUACCCGCUGAACUUAAGCAUAUCAAUAAGCGGAGGAA
rnacentral:misc_RNA from 1 species